UACGAAGGGGGCUAGCGUUGCUCGGAAUCACUGGGCGUAAAGGGUGCGUAGGCGGUUUGGUAAGUCUGAUGUGAAAUCUAUGGGCUCAACUCAUAGUCUGCAUCGGAAACUGCCGGGCUUGAGUUUGGUAGAGGCAGAUGGAAUUCCGGGUGUAGCGGUGGAAUGCGUAGAGAUCCGGAAGAACACCGGUGGCGAAGGCGGUCUGCUGGGCCAAGACUGACGCUGAGGCGCGACAGCGUGGGGAGCAAACAGG
rnacentral:rRNA from 1 species